CGUUCGAGCGUCAUUAAAACCCAUCAAGCCUGGCUUGGUAUUGGCGUCGGGGCCUCCCCGCGCCUCGAUUUCGCCGGCUGGACGACCCCGAUCUCAGCGUUUGUGACGCACAAUAUCGCUGGUAGGACGGGCGGCCACGCCGUUAACCUUUUAAUCAAUUAGUUGACCUCGGAUCGGGUAGGAAUACCCGCUGAACUUAA
rnacentral:misc_RNA from 1 species